UACGUAGGUGGCAAGCGUUGUCCGGAUUUACUGGGCGUAAAGAGCGCGCAGGCGGUCGUUCAAGUCGCGUGUGAAAGCCCCCGGCUCAACUGGGGAGGGUCACGCGAUACUGAUCGACUCGAAGGCAGGAGAGGGAAGUGGAAUUCCCGGUGUAGUGGUGAAAUGCAUAGAUAUCGGGAGGAACACCAGUGGCGAAGGCGACUUCCUGGCCUGUUCUUGACGCUGAGGCGCGAAAGCUAGGGGAGCAAACGGG
rnacentral:rRNA from 1 species